GAUGAACGCUAGCGGCAGGCCUAACACAUGCAAGUCGAGGGGUAGUUACUUUCGGGUAAUGAGACCGGCGCACGGGUGCGUAACGCGUAUGCAAUCUACCUUUUACAGGGGAAUAGCCCAGAGAAAUUUGGAUUAAUGCCCCAUAGUAUGUAUGAAUCGCAUGUUUAUACAUUAAAGUUCCAACGGUAAAAAGAUGAGCAUGCGUCCCAUUAGUUAGUUGGUAAGGUAACGGCUUACCAAGACGAUGAUGGGUAGGGGUCCUGAGAGGGAGAUCCCCCACACUGGUACUGAGACACGGACCAGACUCCUACGGGAGGCAGCAGUGAGGAAUAUUGGACAAUGGCGCAAGCCUGAUCCAGCCAUGCCGCGUGC
rnacentral:rRNA from 1 species